UACGUAGGGUGCAAGCGUUGUCCGGAAUUAUUGGGCGUAAAGAGCUCGUAGGCGGUUUGUUGCGUCGGCUGUGAAAUCCCGAGGCUCAACUCCGGAUCUGCGGUGGGUACGGGCAGACUAGAGUGAUGUAGGGGAGACUGGAAUUCCUGGUGUAGCGGUGAAAUGCGCAGAUAUCAGGAAGAACACCAAUGGCGAAGGCAGAUCUCUGGGCCGUAACUGACGCUGAGGAGCGAAAGCGUGGGGAGCGAACAGG
rnacentral:rRNA from 1 species